UAUCCGCCCGGGUACUACGAGCAUUAGCUUAAAACCCAAAGGACUUGGCGGUGCUUCAGAUCCACCUAGAGGAGCCUGUUCUAGAACCGAUAAUCCCCGUUAAACCUCACCUUUCCUUGUAUAAUCCGCCUAUAUACCGCCGUCGUCAGCUUACUCUGUGAAGAGCUAGUAGUAUGCACAAUUGGCUUAGCCCUAAACGCCAGGUCGAGGUGUAGCGUAUGGAGAGGGAAGAAAUGGGCUACAUUCAAUAGCUAUAAUGAAUACGAAUGAUAUUAUGAAAAAAUAUCUGAAGGAGGAUUUAGCAGUAAGCAGAGAAUAGAGUGCCCUGCUGAAGCCGGCCCUGAAGCGCGUACACACCGCCCGUCACUCUCCCCGAAUAGCGAGUCAACACAUCACUAAUCAGCCAAAGCCAAAGAGGGGAGGCAAGUCGUAACAUGGUAAGCGUACCGGAAGGUGCGCUUGGAAAAACUCAGAGCAUAGCUAAAUUACGUAUAGCAUCUCCCUUACACUGAGAAGACAUCCGUGCAACCCGGAUUGCCCUGAAGCCCAAUAGCUAGCCCAACCCACUAAAAAUAACAGACCACUAUUAAAUAAACCCCAACGCACCAAACAAUGCAAAACAAACCAUUUUCCCCUCUUAGUAUGGGAGACAGAAAAGAGACUCGGCGCAAUAAAGAAAGUACCGCAAGGGAAAGCUGAAAGAGAAAUG
rnacentral:rRNA from 1 species